AUGAACGCUGGCGGCGUGCUUAACACCUGCAAGUCGAACGAAGCACUUUAUUUGAUUUCCUUCGGGACUGAUUAUUUUGUGACUGAGUGGCGGACGGGUGAGUAACGCGUGGGUAACCUGCCUUGUACAGGGGGAUAACAGUUGGAAACGGCUGCUAAUACCGCAUAAGCGCACAGCAUCGCAUGAUGCAGUGUGAAAAACUCCGGUGGUAUAAGAUGGACCCGCGUUGGAUUAGCUAGUUGGUGAGGUAACGGCCCACCAAGGCGACGAUCCAUAGCCGACCUGAGAGUGUGACCGGCCACAUUGGGACUGAGACACGGCCCAAACUCCUACGGGAGGCAGCAGUGGGGAAUAUUGCACAAUGGGCGAAAGCCUGAUGCAGCGACGCCGCGUGAGCGAAGAAGUAUUUCGGUAUGUAAAGCUCUAUCAGCAGGGAAGAUAAUGACGGUACCUGACUAAGAAGCACCGGCUAAAUACGUG
rnacentral:rRNA from 1 species